GUGCCAGCCGCCGCGGUAAGACAGAGGUGGCAAGCGUUGUUCGGAAUUACUGGGCUUAAAGGGCGCGUAGGUGGUGGCGUAAGUCCGGGGUGGAAGGCCAAGGCUUAACCUUGGGAUUGCCCUGGAAACUGCAUCACUUGAGUCAGACAGGGGAUGGCGGAAUUCCCGGUGUAGCGGUGAAAUGCGUAGAUAUCGGGAGGAAGGCCGGUGGCGAAGGCGGCCAUCUGGGUCUGAACUGACACUGAGGCGCGAAAGCGUGGGGAGCAAACAGGAUUAGAAACCCCGGUAGUCC
rnacentral:rRNA from 1 species